ACACCGGCCGCUCAAGUGGUAGCCGCUUUUAUUGGGCCUAAAGCGUCCGUAGCCGGUCUGAUAAGUCUCUGGUGAAAUCCCACAGCUUAACUGUGGGAAUUGCUGGAGAUACUAUCAUGACUCGAGGUCGGGAGAGGCUGGAGGAACUCUCAGGGUAGGGGUGAAAUCCUGUAAUCCUGUGAGGACCACCUGUGGCGAAGGCGGCGAUCUGGAACGAUCCGGACGGUGAGGAACGAAAGACAGGGGCGCGAACCGGAUUGGAUACCCGGGUAGUCCUGGCCGUAAACGAUGGGGACUUGGUGUUGGGAUGGCUUCGAGCUGCCCCAGUGCGGAAGGGAAGCUGUUAAGUCCACCGCCUGGGAAGUACGGCCGCAAGGCUGAAACUCAAAUGAAUUGGCGGGG
rnacentral:rRNA from 1 species